CAUAUCAUUAAGAAAGGAAAAGAAAAUAACUAUAUUCUACNGUNGCGCGACAAGCUUGAAGAUCCCCAAUGGUAAACAUGUUGUGUGGGAAUAAUGAAUUGUAUUGUANAUACAGCCAUAGAGAGUUAUAGUCUCAUUGACAAAUCUCAGAAGAACGAGUAGCAUUGUUUGGUAGUGCAGUGUGAAGUGGUGGAUGUGAACAUCAAAGGCUAAAUACAAACACAGACCGAUAGCAAAGAAGUACCGUGAGGGAAAGCUAGUUACUGUAAUGGUAANGCGCGAAAUCGAAG
rnacentral:rRNA from 1 species